CUGAGUUAGUAAAGAAAUACGAAAUGUAAUAGAUUUGAUUCAUCAGGAGGGGAGGGGAGGGUCCCCAGAGAGGUGAGACUACACCAUCUAGACUAGUGUCAGUCAUCAGGAGGGGAGGGGAGUGUCCCCAGAGAGGUGAGACUACACCAUCUAGACUAGUGUCAGUCAUCAGGAGGGGAGGGGAGGGUCCCCAGAGAGGUGAGACUACACCAUCUAGACUAGUGUCAGUCAUCAGGAGGGGAGGGGAGGGUCCCCAGAGAGGUGAGACUACACCAUCUAGACUAGUGUCAGUCAUCAGGAGGGGAGGGGAGGGUCCCCAGAGAGGUGAGACUACACCAUCUAGACUAGUGUCAGUCAUCAGGAGGGGAGGGGAGGGUCCCCAGAGAGGUGAGACUACACCAUCUAGACUAGUGUCAGUCAUCAGGAGGGGAGGGGAGGGUCCCCAGAGAGGUGAGACUACACCAUCUAGACUAGUGUCAGUCAUCAGGAGGGGAGGGGAGGGGAGUGUCCCCAGAGAGGUGAGACUACACCAUCUAGACUAGUGUCAGUCAUCAGGAGGGGAGGGGAGGGGAGUGUCCCCAGAGAGGUGAGACUACACCAUCUAGACUAGUGUCAGUCAUCAGGAGGGGAGGGGAGGGGAGUGUCCCCAGAGAGGUGAGACUACACCAUCUAGACUAGUGUCAGUCAUCAGGAGGGGAGGGGAGUGUCCCCAGAGAGGUGAGACUACACCAUCUAGACUAGUGUCAGUCAUCAGGAGGGGAGGGGAGUGUCCCCAGAGAGGUGAGACUACACCAUCUAGACUAGUGUCAGUCAUCAGGAGGGGAGGGGAGGGUCCCCAGAGAGGUGAGACUACACCAUCUAGACUAGUGUCAGUCAUCAGGAGGGGAGUGUCCCCAGAGAGGUGAGACUACACCAUCUAGACUAGUGUCAGUCAUCAGGAGGGGAGGGGAGGGGAGUGUCCCCAGAGAGGUGAGACUACACCAUCUAGACUAGUGUCAGUCAUCAGGAGGGGAGGGGAGUGUCCCCAGAGAGGUGAGACUACACCAUCUAGACUAGUGUCAGUCAUCAGGAGGGGAGUGUCCCCAGAGAGGUGAGACUACACCAUCUAGACUAGUGUCAGUCAUCAGGAGGGGAGGGGAGGGUCCCCAGAGAGGUGAGACUACACCAUCUAGACUAGUGUCAGUCAUCAGGAGGGGAGGGGAGUGUCCCCAGAGAGGUGAGACUACACCAUCUAGACUAGUGUCAGUCAUCAGGAGGGGAGGGGAGUGUCCCCAGAGAGGUGAGACUACACCAUCUAGACUAGUGUCAGUCAUCAGGAGGGGAGUGUCCCCAGAGAGGUGAGACUACACCAUCUAGACUAGUGUCAGUCAUCAGGAGGGGAGGGGAGUGUCCCCAGAGAGGUGAGACUACACCAUCUAGACUAGUGUCAGUCAUCAGGAGGGGAGGGGAGGGGAGUGUCCCCAGAGAGGUGAGACUACACCAUCUAGACUAGUGUCAGUCAUCAGGAGGGGAGGGGAGGGGAGUGUCCCCAGAGAGGUGAGACUACACCAUCUAGACUAGUGUCAGUCAUCAGGAGGGGAGGGGAGUGUCCCCAGAGAGGUGAGACUACAUAUGAUCACUGUCCCAAAUGUCACCCUAUAUAGUACACUACUAUAGACCCUAUUCCCUAUAUAGUGGUACUACUAUAGACCAGAGCCCUAUUCCCUAUAU